AAUAUACUUCCUCAGUUCCAAAUUACUCGUCGUAGAAAUGAAUGUAUUUAGAACUAAAAUACAUCUAGAUACAUCCAUACCUGCGACAAGUAAUUCGGAACGGAGGGAGUAUAUC
rfam:Triticum aestivum genome assembly, contig: Triticum_aestivum_CS42_TGACv1_scaffold_289629_4AL